rnacentral:rRNA from 1 species
UUAUGGCCAUAUCACUCUGCAACUCACAACUGGCAACCCACUGAAACUAAGCAGGUGUGAGCCUGGUUAGUAGCUUGGUGGGAGACCUCCUGGAAAAACUAAGGUUGCUGCUUGAA